CGCGUACAUGACCUACCUUCAAGUUCGGAAUAGCCCUGGGAAACUGGGAUUAAUACCGGAUGUGAUAAUAGAUAUAGAGAUUUAUUAUUAAAGUUGAGGCGCUUGGAGAUGGGUGUGCGUCUGAUUAGCUAGUUGGUGAGGUAACGGCUCACCAAGGCGACGAUCAGUAGGGGGCGUGAGAGCGUGACCCCCCACACGGGUACUGAGACACGGACCCGACUCCUACGGGAGGCAGCAGUAAGGAAUAUUGGUCAAUGGGCGAAAGCCUGAACCAGCCAUCCCGCGUGCAGGAUGAAGGUCCUAUGGAUUGUAAACUGCUUUUAUCAGGGAAGAAACGCCUUCAUUUAUGGGGGUCUGACGGUACCUGAGGAAUAAGCACCGGCUAACUCCGUG
rnacentral:rRNA from 1 species